rnacentral:rRNA from 1 species
ACGAACGCUGGCGGCGUGCUUAACACAUGCAGGUCGAACGGAAAGGCCCUGCUUUUGUGGGGUGCUCGAGUGGCGAACGGGUGAGUAACACGUGAGUAACCUGCCCUUGACUUUGGGAUAACUUCAGGAAACUGGGGCUAAUACCGGAUAGGAGCUCCUGCUGCAUGGUGGGGGUUGGAAAGUUUCGGCGGUUGGGGACGGACUCGCGGCUUAUCAGCUUGUUGGUGGGGUAGUGGCUUACCAAGGCUUUGACGGGUAGCCGGCCUGAGAGGGUGACCGGCCACAUUGGGACUGAGAUACGGCCCAGACUCCUACGGGAGGCAGCAGUGGGGAAUAUUGCACAAUGGGCGGAAGCCUGAUGCAGCAACGCCGCGUGCGGGAUGACGGCCUUCGGGUUGUAAACCGCUUUCGCCUGUGACGAAGCGUGAGUGACGGUAAUGGGUAAAGAAGCACCGGCUAACUACGUG